ensembl:ncRNA F46F3.16 ncRNA
GGACUCAAGUCAAAAAGAUUGCGCGAAGCGAUAGAGACCUUCCUCUUCUUUUUUUGGUGGUAGUAGUUUGUUUCGGGACGAAGACGAGAAACGGCGUCCCGUCCCAUAAACCUCUAUUAUAUUCCAACAGGAAGAUGAAAAGGGUGU